GGGGGCGAUCGGUAUCGACCGUAAGGACCCGGUGGCAGGGAAGGGUGUCGAGGAUGUCAGUGACCUCGUUAAAUAUCUGGCACAACACAAAUGCCGACAACAGUCCGGCUUAUGCUCUCGCAGCCUAACUAGUGCUCCGAGCGCGUUGCGGUUCGUGUCUGUAGGACCGUAAGGCGAAACUACUCACAGGCUGGCGUCAGGCUGUGUCUCAGGGCCUGACGUGAGAUCUCACUGCGGCUGGCGUUUGCGGCGUGUGCCGCAUGAUGGCGCAAACGCGAGAUCAAACAGGCGGCUACGCACCUAGAUGCCCCGCCAUCAUCUUGACGGCACGCGGGUUCGAUUCCCGCCGCCUCCACCA
rnacentral:tmRNA from 1 species